rnacentral:lncRNA from 1 species
AUCAAAACCAGUACUUUCCUCUCUAAUGGAACAGUAUUAGUUAUAAGGAGAGUUUUCAAAUUGAAUAAUGCUAUUAAUGUUGCUAAAUAGCAUUACUCUUUCAAAUUAGGGUUUCAUACUGCAACAUCUUCGUUCCCCCUCCCUGCUGAUUAGUUCAUAGUUAUGGCGACAACUUCAGUUAAGGGGUAAAGGAGGUGACAGAAGAGAGUGAGCACACAUGGUGUUUUCUUGUAUGAUAUUCUCCAUGCUUGAAGCUAUGGGUGCUCACCCUCUUUCUGUCACCCCACCACUCUCUCUCUCUCUCUCUCACUCACACGCGCACACACACUCAGAGUCUCACAAAUCUUGUUUACCGCAUAUUGUUUAAAAAUAAUUUUGUAUUUGAAGUUACAAAGUGUCAAAUUAAUGUUUCUUUCAUUUAUUGCCCUUUUUUUGUUCUCUCAGACUCACAAUAACUUGCAGUGUUUGUGGUUUACUUUCCAAUUUGGAUUAGUUCCACGAUUUUCGUCAUGAAUGGCCAUAUCAGAAUUAUGGGAGUAGUUUCAAUUAUUAGGAACGAAGGGUGAUAGAACUUUCUUGAUAAAUCCCUUUGCCUUAUGUUGGGCACAGAAGAAAUGGUGCCUUUUGACAAACCCUAAACCCCCCCCCCCCCCUGUCAGACCAGAUCUAAUUUUACAUGAAAGUACAAUUUUCAUAAAUGAGUGCCGAGGUUUUACACAAUCUGGUACGAGGAAAAACCAAUUUAGCAGAUAUAUGGAGCACUAAUAACAUCUGUUAAAGUAAAUUCUGAUGUACUCUAGGGUUCUUAAUCUUGUUUCCUUUAUCUGUUUAAUUUUAAAGAAUAUUAUAAAUAUAACGUUCUCUUUGGUAAGGUUCUGAAGUUAAUUUUCUUAAGCAAGUUUCUGUUUUAAAUCUUGAUAAUUAGUCAUUUUCAUUUGUUUUGAGAAUUAGUGGGGACUCUCCUGCCCUCCAAUUUCCUAAAGCCUAAUUCUUGUCUCUUUAAUCUUUGACGCAACUCUUUAAUUUGCCUCUGUCAAAGGAAAAUAUAAUUCUUGUUUCUUUUUUCUUGCUUUUUUUCCUUUCUCACUUUUCUUUAUUUUUCGCUUAGCCGAGCAGUUUCUAUAAGUUGACGUAGUCUCAAGAAUUGGCUACAAACAAGAAAAAUUAUAUGGCAUACAUUAGUUUUGCCGAUGUUCAGACUAAAGGGUUAUAAUCUUCUAUAUUUCUGUCACUGUUCCACUCGCUUCUGAUUUUCCAAUUUAAUAUAUAGAUUUUGUUAGUUCUUGACCACGAAACAAGAACUAAUCUUUCAAUGUUUUUGUUUGCAAUUCAGUAGAAUUAUGUAACAGUUGCAGCUUGUGAUAGCAGUUGGAUGAAUUCUUCUAUUUGACAGUGGCAGCUUACUUCCGCUUUAUGUUGAGGUGUAAUUUUAAUUGAUUCUUAUCCAAAAGCUUUAACUGAUUCAAUAAAAUAACUGCAAAGAUUUGUUUUUUCAUAUACAAAGACCAGAUCUGUGAUUUGAACUGACUUUAGGGUUUCAAUUUACAUUGCAAUAUGCAUCUAAUUUUAUUUGAUCAGGGUAGUGUAUGUUUGUUACUUAGUUUUUCAUUGUUUUCAUAUUACUGAUAUGUGAACUAUCCGUCCGCUGAUGAAUUUUCAAGGUCCUUGAGUCAAUUCUCGAACUAAGAAUAAAUCUUUUGAAAAGCUUUCGAUUUUUAUAAUUCUUUUAACAUAUGGAGAUCGUUGAAUUGCCAGUUAAGCUGAUAUUUUUCCUCUUUAACAUUGGAUUUUUGUUCGAUUCGUGUAUAUAUUGCAGAUUUUGCAAGACCAGUACCAUUUUAAGCGAAAGAAAUAAUUGGCAGAGUUCCUCAUUCUGAUGAAAUAACAGACAAUUGGAAGGGAAAUAGAUUUAAUUUCCAUUUUGUAUUAUAUUUUAGGUUUUGAAUUUGGAAUAAUAUUGGUCACGGAGUAUUCUAUUGACAAUAUUCUUGCAUUUAUAGAUAUUAAUUGUGGGCAUUUUCAAAAGUUUGAUGUCUUAAUUUUCCGUAGUUGUUCUUUUAAGUUCAUGGUAUAAUAUAGUAUUUUGAUUUUUGCCCAUAAUGUGCGCACAUGUAAUGAUGCACGCCACAUGCAAACGAGUUCUUCUUCUUUUGCUUACUGUAAUCUCUUAAAAUAAACACAUUUCUGUUUCAAAGAUCUGUACAUAUGAAGAUGUACCUUUACAAUUUCAGCUGAAUUGUUUUCCCACAUGGCUAACUAUCCAACUGCAGCUGCCUGCUCCUGUUGCUAUAAGUUGGAAUCUAGUGUGUCUGAAAGAUUUUGCACGUCGGAUUUUUAAUUGUUUUGAGAUUUCUUGUUUAAUACUUGGGGAAAUUUUAGUACCUUAGACACGUUUACCAGGAACAAUAAGCACAUGUUUGCCAGUCCUCAUUUGGCUUGAAGUCGAGCUUGCUUUAGUGAAAAUCUCUCGGUUGUUAACACCUAUGUUAGGUCGAGCUGCUUACUGAAAAUUGAUUUUCACAUAUGCCACACACUAUCUUAGAGUCCAUAUUCUCUCUUAUUCUCCUAAAAGCACAUUGCUGAUGCAAAUAAAUAGCUCUUUUGGUUCAAUCAAUCCAGUGUAAUGUCUCUCGUGCAGUACUUUAAAAUAAGUAGAAGCACUUUCUACUUAAAAAAGAACUAUGUGAGCAUGUUUGCCCCUGAAAGAAGCUACUUCUUUUGUGGUUUAUUAAGUCUGUCUGCGCAUGCUUACUGCCAAAAUAAGCCACAAAAAGUUACUUUUUAUAUGAGGGCCUGCACUGUAUCUAAAAUCCAAACAAUGUUGUACAAAUCAACCAAGUUGGCGGAACAAUCACAUUGGGGGGCUUUGGAACCAAGUGUGGGGAGUUCAAUUCCUGGUUGAAGCAGCCAAGUGAUGUAAUAACCAGAGGAAGGGUUGGAGCAGUUUGAUGAUGUAAUAACCAUGGAGGAGGG